UAUAUCUGGGUAUACACCGUGGCGGUGUAGGUGGAAGUGGUGGCAAUGGAGGAGGAGGAGGUAGCCAACACUGAUUUAUUUUUUUUAUUUUUAUUUUUUAUUGGGGUAGCCCCCAAAAUAUUGGGACGUAUAAAAAAAGAAAAAAAAGAAGAAGUGCACUUAUGGCUGGGUGAGGCCAGACAAGUCUGGUGGGAUCCAUGCCUGGUUCAUUUUAAUAAAUGUGAGCUUGUCCACAUUGGCCGUGGACAGGCGGCUGCGCUUGUCUGUGAUAACCUCGUGCCGAUCGCAUGUCCCCGUGACGGCCAUAACGCAUUCAGAUGUCUGCCAUAUCAACUUUGGAUGCAAUUUUCCGCGCCUACCAUGGUGACCAUGAGUAACUGGGAAUCAGGGUUCGAUUCCAGAGAGAGAGCCUAAGAAACAGCUACCACAUGCAAGGAAGGCAGCAGGCGCGCAAAUUGCCCACUCCCGACGCGGGGAGGUAGUGACGACAAAUAACAAUACACUACUCUUCCGAGGCCCUGUAAUUGUAAUGAGUCCACUUUAAAUCCUUUAACUUGGAUCAAUUGGAGGGCAAGUCUGGCGCAGAGCGACUGACCUGUGCGUGCUGCAGCUGAAAC